ACGAACGCUGGCGGCGCGCCUAACACAUGCAAGUCGAACGGAGCUGAGAGAAGCUUGCUUUUCUUAGCUUAGUGGCGAACGGGUGAGUAACGCGUGAGUAACCUGCCCUGGAGUGGGGGACAACAGUUGGAAACGACUGCUAAUACCGCAUAAGCCCACGAUCCGGCAUCGGAUUGAGGGAAAAGGAUUUAUUCGCUUCAGGAUGGACUCGCGUCCAAUUAGCUAGUUGGUGAGGUAACGGCCCACCAAGGCGACGAUUGGUAGCCGGACUGAGAGGUUGAGCGGCCACAUUGGGACUGAGACACGGCCCAGACUCCUACGGGAGGCAGCAGUGGGGGAUAUUGCACAAUGGGGGAAACCCUGAUGCAGCGACGCCGCGUGGAGGAAGAAGGUUUUCGGAUUGUAAACUCCUGUCGUUAGGGACGAUAAUGACGGUACCUAACAAGAAAGCACCGGCUAACUACGUG
rnacentral:rRNA from 1 species